AGGUAAUAGUUCUUCAUUGCUCUGUGUUUCUUGUGUAAAUAUUAUUUCUAAAUUUUCAUAACACUUUAAAAGUUAAAACAUUAAUGUUGUAUGCAUAAGUGAUAUGUUGUUUUAAGUAUUUUUUUAUGCAUAAUUUUGUUAAGUAAGGAUUAGAGCGUCGAAUGUUUGAAAUGUUUGGUCAUAAUUACACAUGGUAUUUACGCAGGUAUCACUCCGCCAGAAAAGUAGAGACCUGUGUAUGUGUUUCAUGUUUCCAACAAAGACUUUUGCUGAUGAGGUAUCACUCCGCCAGAAAAGUAGAGACCUGUGCAUGUGUUUCAUGUUUCCAACAAAGGUUCCAGAAGAUGGGGCGUGAAGAGGAUAUCAGAUAACGAGGCGCAAACCAACGGGAACGAAGUGACGGGCGUCGGCGGAGCGCGAGGCUGCGGAAUCAAGAGUUCAAGAAAGACCACUACAAAUGAGCAAUAUUGUGACGGCCGGAUCUCAUCAUGAUGCAGGGUUUGCAGAUCGGGCUUCGGACACAGCGUGCAGUACCUUGGAGACAUCAUGCCUCGUCGGUGUGUUGUCGGAGGUUGUAACAACACCAACAGAGACGGAUUCAAGUUGCACCACUGGUCAAAAGAUACGAAAGUCCCUUGUUUGUUCUGCACACUGUACCGACGACAGCUAUGCUACGACAGAGAUGGCAAGAAUGUGUGGAUAUCCUGCGACACUCAAAGAAGACACAUUUCCAUCGAUAAAGUCAACAAAAUCACAAAGGUGAGUUUUGUUGAUGUUAUUGACUUAUGUGGAGUGUGCUAAUCGGACAUAUUUGGUCACGGCAUGACUGCAAGCUAAUCGAUGCUAACAUGCUAUUUAGGCUAGCUGCAUGUACAUAUGUAACCUGUGGUCUUUUCCUCUGCGUUGUGUGUUUUGUUUAUGGAAGACGACCGACACCAUGGGUUUCUCCACUGCACUUUACUGAUAACACAGAAUACAAUUGUCUUUAAAAACUUUGUGCCAUCGUCGAGCCCCUCUCCCGUUAUCGUAGACAA